CGGAAGUGUCUCGUCAUUCUGAUGAGAGCGGCCAGUCUGUGAACAACUGAAACAUUCUAUGUGUUUUUUCCUCCUGUUUAACAGGCUCUGUUGGCGGGGAGGAUCACGUCCAGCUGUGCACACACUUUUUCACGCACGUCAAGGAUCACGUGUGGGGGAGGAAGGAGACGCAUAGGAAAAGCUGCUGCCCUCUUGUGCUGAUUGGAGAGAUAUCUUCCGCAGCUUGUGGGUCCAUGACGAUGUCUUCUGUUUUUUUGGAUCAGCCAUUUUAAGGCAUUAAAUCAUCCAAGUAACUCAGCUCCCGUUUGGAGAAACAAAAGUCCAGCAGUUUGCGGAUGAAUACUAAAGCCAGCACCUGGAGACACAGGAGGGGACAGAAAAAGCCGAUUGAGUCAAAGAACGAGAGAACUCAGAGUGAUCAUCUCACCAUCAUGGGGAAGACGAUGGCAGCUGGUGAGGUCUUGAUGACCCACAGCAGGACAAGACAUGUGAGCUGCGUGAGCGUGAAAAGAUGAACCUUCCUCAAAGGAACGUGACGCAGGUAGAUAAAGUCUGGCUGGUGCUUGGCCGGCAUCCCAAACAACUUAAGACGGUCAAAGAACUGCAAGCAAGGUAAAGAUAUGCAGAAGACAUUUUGUCCCAUUGACACAUUAUCACCAGCCACAAUAUUAGGUACACCGACACAAUCAAGUGUACAGGCAGGUCCUAUAGGAGAGUGUGUAUGGAGGCACUUUCAACAAACAAUACAUAGAUUUGUUCAAUAAAGAUAGUAGACUAUUUAACCCACAA